rnacentral:tRNA from 1 species
GGCCCGUUGGUCAAGCGGUUAAGACACCGCCCUUUCACGGCGGUAACACGGGUUCGAGUCCCGUACCGGUCA